ACGGGAGGCAGCAGUAAGGAAUCUUGCACAAUGGGGGAAACCCUGAUGCAGCAACGCCGCGUGAACGAUGAAGGCCUUCGGGUUGUAAAGUUCUGUUCUUAGGGAAGAAACAAAUGACGGUACCUAAGGAGCAAGCCCCGGCUAACUACGUGCCAGCAGCCGCGGUAAUACGUAGGGGGCAAGCGUUAUCCGGAAUUAUUGGGCGUGAAGAGUGCGUAGGUGGUUACCUAAGCGCAAGGUUUAAUCUUGAGGCUUAACCUCAUUCUGCCUUGCGAACUGGGCUACUUGAGUUCAGGAGGGGAAAGCGGAAUUCCUAGUGUAGCGGUGAAAUGCGUAGAUAUUAGGAAGAACACCGGUGGCGAAGGCGGCUUUCUGGACUGUAACUGACACUGAGGCACGAAAGCGUGGGGAGCAAACAGGAUUAGAUACCCUGGUA
rnacentral:rRNA from 1 species